AUUAAAGGUUAGUUCUAUGUUUGUACGAUUCGUGCAACUUUUGUUUGGUAUCAUUCCUAGCGUGUGGGUUCUAUUACUUUAUGCUAGCAGUGUGAUUAUUACCCUUUUGAUUCCUAUUACCCUAUGCUUUAUCUUUCAGCUAAGUGUACUCGUGACCCUACCAGCACUUUUCAAGAUACUUUCGACGUAUUCAUUGCGGUGAACAACGCGGUUGGGACAGCACACUCACGACGUGGGAAGGUCACAGAAAUGUUGAAAGACAUCAGAUUGGGCAUACGCUUCACCCGUGCAACUUCGUCAUGUGCUCCACGGCAGCACAAGCCUUUACGGCUGUGCCACUAUGUGUGGAAACGUCGUAGCGGAUGAAUGUGAAUUAUGGAUCUCCAAG